GAAAAGAAACUAACAAGGAUUCCCCUAGUAACGGCGAGUGAAGCGGGAAGAGCUCAAAUUUGAAAUCUGGUAGCCUUCGGUUGCCCGAGUUGUAAUCUAGAGAAAUGUUUUCCGUGCCGGCCCAUGUACAAGUCCCUUGGAACAGGGCGUCAUAGAGGGUGAGAAUCCCGUCCUUGACAUGGACCCCCGGUGCUUUGUGAUACAUUUUCAACGAGUCGAGUUGUUUGGGAAUGCAGCUCAAAAUGGGUGGUGAAUUCCAUCUAAAGCUAAAUAUUGGCGAGAGACCGAUAGCGAACAAGUACCGUGAGGGAAAGAUGAAAAGCACUUUGGAAAGAGAGUUAAACAGUACGUGAAAUUGUUGAAAGGGAAACGAUUGAAGUCAGUCAUGCUCUUUGGUAUUUAUAUCAUUGAGUGGGGUCAACAUCAGUUUUGAUCGAUGGAUAAAGGCACUAGGAAUGUAGCACUCUCGGGUGAACUUAUAGCCUAGCGUCAUAUACAUUGAUUGGGACUGAGGAACGCAGCAUGCCUUUAUGGCCGGGAUUCGUCCACGUACAUG
rnacentral:rRNA from 1 species